rnacentral:rRNA from 1 species
UACGUAGGGUCCGAGCGUUGUCCGGAAUUAUUGGGCGUAAAGAGCUCGUAGGCGGCUUGUCACGUCGGGUGUGAAAGCUCGGGGCUUAACCCCGGGUCUGCAUUCGAUACGGGCUGGCUGGAGUGUGGUAGGGGAGAUCGGAAUUCCUGGUGUAGCGGUGAAAUGCGCAGAUAUCAGGAGGAACACCGGUGGCGAGGGCGGAUCUCUGGGCCAUUACUGACGCUGAGGAGCGAAAGCGUGGGGAGCGAACAGG